AAGCCAAGGAACGUCCUUCUUCCUCAUCUGCUCCUCUGCUCCUCUGCUCCCAGACAUCUCUCAACCAACCUGGACCUGGUGAUACACAGAUGAAUACAACAGGGGAUGGUGGCACACGCCUGUAUCCCAGCGCUCUGAAGGUGGAGGCAGGACUACCCUCAAGCUUGAGGCCAUCCUGGACUACGUAGUGAAGAUCAUGUCAUAGAAAAGCCAUCAGCAUUCCGAAUUAUUCCUGACAGGCUCCAACUUUCAUUUUAAGCAUCCUUAAGAACUUCUUCUGGACAGUUAUCUGGUAGCGAACCCGCCAUCAGCAUUCCUCAAGCUCAGUAACUGGAACGAGAGGGCACCCAGACAACUGAGCGGACAAGGGCGGCGUGACUUGGCUGAAGCACCACUGACAGCCAACAGGACAGGAAUGAGGGAUAAGAAGCCAGUUUCUGUAUGUGGUAGGUGCCCAGUGCAGCUGCACAACAUCUGGAGACAUACUCUAAUAUCAGGCCAAUAUUCCAUGGGAAAAUAUAUACAAGAAGCAGAUAUGCCCAAAGGACUUUGCAUAAAGAAGAACAGACAUCUCCAAUUCUUUGGAUACCCAGCAAAGACCACCAAACCUCCCAAAUGAGACCUGCAGAAAACUCAUCACAAAUAUGGGCAGUUCCUUGAGUCUCAGAAGCUAAGAAGAGAAGCCUUGGGGACUACACGGCCUGCUCAUAACUUCUGGAACGGGCUAGGCACUGUAUCUUAUAGUGCAGAGCCUUCGUACCCAAGCAAAGUUCUAAGGAACUAUCCCAGGGUUUAUUCAGUCUUAGACUCCGACAUCAUACAACUCAGUCUGAGUGUGCUAAGACACAACCACAGAAGCAAACAUGAAGGAAGACGCUCACCACAUCCACAGCAUCGCACAGCCGCUCUCGGGGGAUAUGCUCAGUGAUGGACGGACACUGAUUCUGCAGGAGCAGCACAGCCUUCAAACCCUCGGCUGUGCAGUCAGCAACGAUCCAGCCACAGUCCAGUGUGCUGAAGGAGAAACCACCCUACAGAGACAGAGUGCAACAGUGCCCUCCCUACAGAGCCGCACAGUCAGGGCAAGGCCUAGCCACCACCGCACAGGGGUACCUAAAUUGGGCGCAGUUGAACAGACUUCAGCUUCAGCACAGGGACUGUCUAGGACUUCAUGCCCAGCCUGAAUGCCCUCAGAUCUCAGCAAUAAAACGGGUCUGGAACCUGAACAGCCGCACGUGUACCUCUGGGACCCCACUAAGGAAAGGCAGCAGCUAUGUCGACGUCUCCUUCCACAACCUGCAUCUAUCAGCAGGCCCUUACAGCAAAGGAGGCUGAUGCUGGCUGAGUCCCUCAUACCUUCUGCCUUGAGCUCAACACUCCAGCUCAAUGCUCAGCUGUCUACUUAGCGUCUGUGUGUGCUACACACCUGAACGAACCUGAAGCAUAGCCACAGAGGUAUAGGCUGCCUCGGGGGAUAAUGAAGCCCCUGACACGAGGCAUCUACAGAACAAGGAGCUGGAAAAGCAACAGAAAGCCCUCUUCAAAGGGAAAACAGUUGAGCUUUGGGCUUGGGUGGGCUGCCCAUACAUACCUUGCGCAUAUGGCGAUAGUACUUCUGAUAGUCAGGACAGUUUUCUGGAACCUGGAUGCAGCAAGGAGCAUAUGUGGAAAACAGAAACAUGUUGGUGCCUGGGACCCUGUGCUGUGAUCUGGGAGACAGACCUACUUCGAGCCACAGUCAGUGCACCAUGACACCCAUGAGCCCCACAUGGCCUUAUCACUACUAGGAAAUUAGAUCGUCCACAGAGGGGUGAACAACCUACUCUUGCGCCCAGCUUCAUGGGUUCACUACUCCUGAGCUGCAUGACUCAGUUCAAACAAACAGCAAACAAACAGGUCUGCAUGUAUGUGCAUGCACGUGCAGUGGCUUCUAAAGGCCCGCCGUCACUCAGUGAUGUCCUAGAGCAGGCUCUGCUAGGGAAGACAGUGCUGACUCACUCCUAACACCCUAGACAAACAUGGGCAGCAGCCGCAGGGAGGAUCCGAGGAAGCUACAUCCCUGUGGGAUCAGAGGACAGGGCGACAGGAACAUGAGGACACUCAGAGGAGGACGCCAGUGGGAUCUAGGCCUGCAGCAUCCAGUGCGUCUGCAGCAGGGUAUGCAAGGCCAGUCUGAAAAAGCGGCACAUGAUGAUGGGGGCUUGAGGUGGAUUUGGAAGGCAGGAAUAAAGACAGUGGUCUGGCAGGCCAGGUGGCUGCUACACAUGGCCUCUGGGAGGGCACCUCAAAGAUGGCUAGGAUAUGAACAGGCUAUGGCACUCAAGGCUACACCU
rnacentral:lncRNA from 1 species